UCAAGCGAACAAGUGCAUGUGGUGGAUGCCUUGGCGAUCACAGGCGAUGAAGGACGCGGUAGCCUGCGAAAAGCUACGGGGAGCUGGCAAACGAGCUUUGAUCCGUAGAUGUCCGAAUGGGGAAACCCGGCCCUUUUGGGUCAUCCUGGACUGAAUACAUAGGUCCAGUGAAGCGAACGCGGUGAACUGAAACAUCUAAGUAACCGCAGGAAAAGAAAUCAACCGAGAUUCCCAAAGUAGUGGCGAGCGAAAUGGGAUGAGCCUUGCACUCUUUAUUUGUAUUGUUAGCCGAACGCUCUGGAAAGUGCGGCCAUAGCAGGUGAUAGCCCUGUAGGCGAAAACAGUAUGAAAGAACUAGGUGUGCGACAAGUAGGGCGGGACACGUGAAAUCCUGUCUGAAGAUGGGGGGACCAUCCUCCAAGGCUAAAUACUCGUGAUCGACCGAUAGUGAACCAGUACCGUGAGGGAAAGGCGAAAAGAACCCCGGGAGGGGAGUGAAAUAGAUCCUGAAACCGCAUGCAUACAAACAGUCGGAGCCUCGUAAGGGGUGACGGCGUACCUUUUGUAUAAUGGGUCAGCGACUUACGUUCAGUAGCAAGCUUAACCGUAUAGGGCAGGCGUAGCGAAAGCGAGUCCGAAUAGGGCGUUCAGUUGCUGGGCGUAGACCCGAAACCAGGUGAUCUAUCCAUGGCCAGGAUGAAGGUGCGGUAACACGUACUGGAGGUCCGAACCCACUAACGUUGAAAAGUUAGGGGAUGAGCUGUGGAUAGGGGUGAAAGGCUAAACAAACCUGGAAAUAGCUGGUUCUCUCCGAAAACUAUUUAGGUAGUGCCUCGUGUCUCACCUUCGGGGGUAGAGCACUGUCAUGGUUGGGGGGUCUAUUGCAGAUUACCCCGCCAUAGCAAACUCCGAAUACCGAAGAGUGCAAUCACGGGAGACAGACAUCGGGUGCUAACGUCCGGUGUCAAGAGGGAAACAACCCAGACCGCCAGCUAAGGUCCCCAAAUAUAGCUAAGUGGGAAACGAAGUGGGAAGGCUAAAACAGUCAGGAGGUUGGCUUAGAAGCAGCCACCCUUUAAAGAAAGCGUAAUAGCUCACUGAUCGAGUCGUCCUGCGCGGAAGAUGUAACGGGGCUAAGCUAUAUACCGAAGCUGCGGAUGCGAGCUUGCUCGCAUGGUAGGAGAGCGUUCCGUAAGCCUGCGAAGGUGCCUUGUAAAGGGUGCUGGAGGUAUCGGAAGUGCGAAUGCUGACAUGAGUAGCGAUAAAGGGGGUGAAAGGCCCCCUCGCCGUAAGCCCAAGGUUUCCUACGCAACGUUCAUCGGCGUAGGGUGAGUCGGCCCCUAAGGCGAGGCAGAAAUGCGUAGCUGAUGGGAAGCAGGUCAAUAUUCCUGCACCAUUGUUAGAUGCGAUGGGGGGACGGAUCGCGGAAGGUUGUCCGGGUGUUGGAAGUCCCGGUCGCUGCAUUGGAGAAGGCGCUUAGGCAAAUCCGGGCGCGCAAUUCAAGGGUGUGGCGCGAGCUCCUUAGGGAGCGAAGCAAUUGGAAGUGGUUCCAAGAAAAGCCUCUAAGCUUCAGUCUAACGAUGACCGUACCGCAAACCGACACAGGUGGGCGAGAUGAGUAUUCUAAGGCGCUUGAGAGAACUCGGGAGAAGGAACUCGGCAAAUUGGUACCGUAACUUCGGGAUAAGGUACGCCCUUGUAGCUUGACUGGCCUGCGCCAGGAGGGUGAAGGGGUUGCAAUAAACUGGUGGCUGCGACUGUUUAAUAAAAACACAGCACUCUGCAAACACGAAAGUGGACGUAUAGGGUGUGACGCCUGCCCGGUGCCGGAAGAUUAAAUGAUGGGGUGCAAGCUCUUGAUUGAAGUCCCGGUAAACGGCGGCCGUAACUAUAACGGUCCUAAGGUAGCGAAAUUCCUUGUCGGGUAAGUUCCGACCUGCACGAAUGGCGUAACGAUGGCCACACUGUCUCCUCCCGAGACUCAGCGAAGUUGAAGUGUUUGUGAUGAUGCAAUCUACCCGCGGCUAGACGGAAAGACCCCAUGAACCUUUACUGUAGCUUUGCAUUGGACUUUGAACCGAUCUGUGUAGGAUAGGUGGGAGGCUAUGAAACCGGAACGCUAGUUUCGGUGGAGCCGUCCUUGAAAUACCACCCUGGUUUGUUUGAGGUUCUAACCUUGGCCCGUGAUCCGGGUCGGGGACAGUGCAUGGUAGGCAGUUUGACUGGGGCGGUCUCCUCCCAAAGCGUAACGGAGGAGUACGAAGGUACGCUAGGUACGGUCGGAAAUCGUGCUGAUAGUGCAAUGGCAUAAGCGUGCUUAACUGCGAGACCGACAAGUCGAGCAGGUGCGAAAGCAGGUCAUAGUGAUCCGGUGGUUCUGUAUGGAAGGGCCAUCGCUCAACGGAUAAAAGGUACUCUGGGGAUAACAGGCUGAUACCGCCCAAGAGUUCAUAUCGACGGCGGUGUUUGGCACCUCGAUGUCGGCUCAUCUCAUCCUGGGGCUGUAGCCGGUCCCAAGGGUAUGGCUGUUCGCCAUUUAAAGAGGUACGUGAGCUGGGUUUAAAACGUCGUGAGACAGUUUGGUCCCUAUCUGCCGUGGGCGUUGGAUAUUUGAAGGGGGCUGCUCCUAGUACGAGAGGACCGGAGUGGACGAACCUCUGGUGUACCGGUUGUCACGCCAGUGGCAUCGCCGGGUAGCUAUGUUCGGAAGAGAUAACCGCUGAAAGCAUCUAAGCGGGAAACUCGCCUUAAGAUGAGAUAUCCCUGGGGACUAGAUCCCCUUGAAGGGUCGUUCGAGACCAGGACGUUGAUAGGUCAGGUGUGUAAGCGCAGUAAUGCGUUCAGCUAACUGAUACUAAUUGCCCGUAAGGCUUGAUCC
rnacentral:rRNA from 1 species